rnacentral:rRNA from 1 species
UACCCGCAGCUCAAGUGGUGGUCAUCAUUAUUGGGCCUUAAGCGUCCGUAGCUGGUUUGUUAAAUGCCUGGGUAAAUCGAAGCGCUCAACGUUUCGAAUUCCGGGUAGACUGGCAAACUCGAGACCGGGAGAGGUGUAGGCUACUCGAGGGGUAGGGGUAAAAUCCUGUAAUCCUUCGGGGAGGACCAGUGGCGAAGGCGCUACACUAGAACGGCUCUGACAGUGAGGGACGAAGCCCUGGGGCGCAAACCGG